CCCUUAGAUGUUCUGGGCUGCACGCGCGCUACACUGAUGCGAUCAACAAGUUUUUCCUAUGUCGAUAGACACGGGUAAUCUUUUGAACUCGCAUCGUGAUGGGGAUAGAUUAUUGUAAUUAUUAAUCUUCAACGAGGAAUUACUAGUAGGUGCAAAUCAUCAGUUUGCAUCGAUUACGUCCCUGCCCUUUGUACACACCGCCCGUCGCUGCUACCGAUUGGUUGAUCUGGUGAAUUAUUCGGACUGCCGGCUGAAGGGGUUUCCUCAUCUGCCAGCGGAAAGUCUUGUUAACCCUAUCAACUAGAGGAAGCAGAAGUCGUAACA
rnacentral:rRNA from 1 species